rnacentral:rRNA from 1 species
GGCCAGACUCCUACGGGAGGCAGCAGUGGGGAAUAUUGCACAAUGGGGGAAACCCUGAUGCAGCGACGCCGCGUGAGCGAAGAAGUCCCUCGGUAUGUAAAGCUCUAUCAGCAGGGAAGAAGAUGACGGUACCUGGCCAAGAAGCUCCGGCUAAAUACGUGCCAGCAGCCGCGGUAAUACGUAUGGAGCAAGCGUUAUCCGGAUUUACUGGGUGUAAAGGGAGCGCAGGCGGCCUUGCAAGUCUGAUGUGAAAGGCCGGGGCCCAACCCCGGGACUGCAUUGGAAACUGCGAGGCUGGAGUGUCGGAGAGGCAGGCGGAAUUCCUGGUGUAGCGGUGAAAUGCGUAGAUAUUAGGAGGAACACCAGUGGCGAAGGCGGCCUGCUGGACGAUGACUGACGCUGAGGCUCGAAAGCGUGGGGAGCAAACAGGAUUAGAUACCCCAGUA